rnacentral:rRNA from 1 species
UCCGGGGGGAGCAAGCGUUGUUCGGAUUUACUGGGCGUAAAGGGCGCGUAGGCGGCCACCGCAAGUCGACUGUGAAAUCUCCGGGCUUAACCCGGAAAGGCCAGCCGAUACUGCGGGGCUAGAGUGCAGAAGGGGCAACUGGAAUUCUCGGUGUAGCGGUGAAAUGCGUAGAUAUCGAGAGGAACACCUGCGGCGAAGGCGGGUUGCUGGGCUGACACUGACGCUGAGGCGCGAAAGCUAGGGGAGCGAACGGG